AAAUGCGAUAAGUAAUGUGAAUUGCAGAAUUCAGUGAAUCAUCGAAUCUUUGAACGCACAUUGGGCCCGCCAGUAUUCUGGCGGGCAUGCCUGUUCGAGCGUCAUUUCAACCAUCAAGCCCCCGGCUUGUGUUGGGGACCUGCGGCUGCCCGCAGGCCCUGAAAAACAGUGGCGGGCUCGCUGUCACACCGAGCGUAGUAGCAUACAUUCUCGCUCAGGGCGUGCUGCGGGUUCCGGCCGUUAAACGACCUUCAUAACCCAAGGUUGACCUCGGAUCAGGUAGGAAGACCCGCCGAACUUAAGC
rnacentral:misc_RNA from 1 species